CUAGUGCACUUGAAUUUUGACAUUUUAAUUAGACUUCCGGCUUCUCAAGAGACCUAGGAGAUUAUUAAGGCCACUGGGCCCACUUGACAGAGGAAGAGGGGAAGCCCUGUCUAGACAGUCGACAAUUUUGGUGACCACAAAGGGGCCCAGAGCAGACUUCUCUCCUUCGCCUGAACUCUGCAAGGGUCAGGAGCCAGAUACCACAGAGGCCUCUUGGGCCUGUCUGCCUCCUCAGAGGGUCCAGAUUAUUUGGGCGAACUCCGGAUGCUUGAAAGGAACCCUGAGACAUCUUGGAGAGGAAUACUGAACUAAUUAGGAUUGUUUGCCCUCUGCCUCCCCCAGCGAAGGGGCAGACACUCUCCAGAUUUGAAUCCUGAUCAGAGUGACCGGGAGUCUGAAGACAGCAGGUGCUGUCCCCACCAGCAGAGGCCCGCUGAGAAGCUCUCUACCUGCUCUGACACAAGGGUCUUUGUAAAGGAGCCAGUGACGCCACCAAAACUCUCAACAGAGGCAUCUCUGAGGUCAUCGUGAUGGCUGCGGACACGAGCCCCCGGACAUCCUCCUGCACCUGCCUGCCUGCUGUGUGAGGAUGAGAACGUGCCCUACGUGUCUCUGCGCUCAGGCAGGCCCUGGGGCGGGCCUGUGGGGUCUCCAGGCCUGUCAUCGCCUGUCCUGCCACCAUCAAAGAAGGCUCAGAACUGAAGCAGCAGAUCCAAUCCAUCCAGCAGUCCAUUGACAGGCUCUUAGUCUAAACAGGUGGCCUCCACCACACUCCCUGCUGACUCCUCCCCCAGAGGUUAUGUUUCAUGUUGUCUGUUAGCAUGUAGUAUUUCCAGCUACCUUCUAUUGUUAUAAAAUAUUGU